GAUGAACGCUGGCGGCAUGCCUUACGCAUGCAAGUCGAACGGCAGCACGGGGCAACCUGGUGGCGAGUGGCGAACGGGUGAGUAAUGCAUCGGAACGUACCUUUCAGUGGGGGAUAACGUAGCGAAAGUUACGCUAAUACCGCAUAUUCUGUGAGCAGGAAAGCAGGGGAUCGCAAGACCUUGCGCUGAUUGAGCGGCCGAUGUCAGAUUAGCUAGUUGGUGAGGUAAAGGCUCACCAAGGCGACGAUCUGUAGCGGGUCUGAGAGGAUGAUCCGCCACACUGGGACUGAGACACGGUCCAGACUCCUACGGGAGACAGCAGUGGGGAAUUUUGGACAAUGGGGGCAACCCUGAUUCAGCCAUGCCGCGUGAGUGAAGAAGGCCUUCGGGUUGUAAAGCGCUUUCGGCCGGGAAGAAAUCGCACGGGCUAAUACCCUGUGUGGAUGACGGUACCGGAAUAAGAAGCACCGGCUAACUACGUGCCAGCCGCCGCGGUAACAC
rnacentral:rRNA from 1 species